rnacentral:lncRNA from 1 species
GGCACUUGAAGGCCCGGGAGUUCCCCUUGGACAGCUUCACCACGGACUGUUUGCAGAGGGCGUGCCCGCAGGGCAUCAGCAUCGGCGGGUUCUCCUCGCUGGCCGGCUCCCUGGAGACGGGGCACACGAAGAUGGAGUGGAACUGGAACUCCUUGCCCAGAUCGACGGCCACCGGCAGCUGCUUCAUGGCCUGCCACUCCUGUUUCUUGCCGGCCAUCACGCCGGCGAGCUUCAGCAGCGUCGGCAGGGCCUGCACGCCGGCGGCCACGGCGACGGCCAGCGGGCUCUCGCAGGACUGCCCCAGGAGCCUGCAGAACUGCCGCGUGAGCUCAUCGGCGGUGGUCUCCCAGAGGGUCGGAGAGAGGAACUCCGCGUAGGGGGACUGGUCCAGCC